GCUCGGGAGCGGCAAAUGUUGUUGUAACAGCGGCAGCUAACAACUGACCGGGAGUGGUGACUCCUUACCAUAGCACUGAGAGCCCAUGCUGCUCGGGAGAGGUAAGAACCGGGCGUGGAGGGGGUAACUCGUACCGCGACCGGAAGGCUGUCUGCGAGAUCAUAAGCGCCCGAAUGCAACGCACCGUUUGAUCUUUGUCGAAUCUUAUUGUUAGAUGGGUUUACUAAUUGCCGCAAUGAGUUGGCGAACUAUUCGCGUGUGAAUAUCGAUCACGAAAAUAAAGCUGAAAAGUCCCUCGCAGGGUCUUUGUGCUAAAGUUCCGAUAGCUCGCGUUUAGGGAAGGAAUAUCAAACGACACCGUCAAAGUACAGACCGCGCCCAUUUGACGGCGAAUGCCGAGCGAUUAUCGGCGAGUGGGCUUUGUGUCUUGACGCGGAGCCGCGAGUCGGGUGCGAAAAGAAGAAACCGCGCGACAAUAACCCAAAGGAGGACACAUGCCAAAGGCACAUGGCGAAUCUCGAAGGUUCGACGGAGUUUUGGUGGAAGACUCAGGAGGGGAUCAGGAGUUUUAUAUGCUCAAAAUUAUUGAAUGUGAAACUGGAAAGUUCAGAACGGACAUCCCUGGGACGUACAAAAUUUAGGUCCCAUGGACGUACGUAGGACGUUCCGGGCGGACGUCCCUGGGACGUACAGAAUUUAGGUCCCAUGGUUGUUCGCAGGACGUUCCGGUCGGACGUCGGACGAUUGGACGUAAGCUGGACAUAAAAUGGACGUCCAUGGAACGUCCGGUGCUAUCUGGGUAAAGAUCUCUUCCCUGUAUUCAGACUCAUUUUUGACUUCUUAAAGACAACAUCUCACGUAAAAUGUCUAUCCAAGGUAGUGAUGUGUGGAAUUUCUUCGUGCCAGUAAACAAUACUGGAUAUGCUACUUGCAAAAUAUGCAAAAAGAAAUUAUCGUAUAAAACAACUACGACAAAUUUAAAAAAACAUUUGUGUUCAGUGCAUCCUACUAUUUCACUAGCAUGGAGACAAAAACACAGUCAUCACAGUCCGCAACUGAUCCUGAUAAUCCAGAAGUUCCUCAAACUGGACCAAGCAAUAUUAUCAUAUUGCCAACAACUCAAGACAGUUCAGAACAUACUACAAAUUCUCAACCUGGUCCAAGUAACGUAUUGCC